rnacentral:rRNA from 1 species
UGAGACAGGUGCUGCAUGGCUGUCGUCAGCUCGUGUUGUGAAAUGUUGGGUUAAGUCCCGCAACGAGCGCAACCCUUAUCCUUUGUUGCCAGCGAUUCGGUCGGGAACUCAAAGGAGACUGCCGGUGAUAAACCGGAGGAAGGUGGGGAUGACGUCAAGUCAUCAUGGCCCUUACGAGUAGGGCUACACACGUGCUACAAUGGCGCAUACAAAGAGAAGCGACCUCGCGAGAGCAAGCGGACCUCACAAAGUGCGUCGUAGUCCGGAUCGGAGUCUGCAACUCGACUCCGUGAAGUCGGAAUCGCUAGUAAUCGUGGAUCAGAAUGCCACGGUGAAUACGUUCCCGGGCCUUGUACACACCGCCCGUCACACC